UAUUAGUAGCGUAGGAAAUGGGACAUUUUAAGACUUCUUUAUCUUGAAUUUAUCUUGCUUUGUCUACUAUUGAAGUGAGUGACUCAAUUUUUUGGUCUGUGUCCCUGCAUUGCUGGACUAUUGUUUCUUGAAUCUUGCCUCAAACUUGGAUAUUCUUAAUUAUACCGAAGAUGUAUGUCGGUGUUAUUAAGCGAGGAGAAACGACCGUCGGCUCUUCAAUGAAGCGAGCGUAUCGCUUCUUGCUUCACACUUUAAGCGAAGUGGGACCUUGUCGCUUUUUCUUGAUUCGCAUUCUAAAACACUGAUCAUAUAAAGUUCCCAUCCCAUAUCUUUCCCAAACAAGUAAUCUUUACAACAGAUAAUGGUUCAGUUAUUAUCUUCAAGAUGAUGUUAACGCUCGAGAGGUCGGAGAAGUACCUCAAGAUGAAGUCUUCAAGAUUACUCACACGAGGAAGGCGAAGAACGCCGAUGGUACGGACCAAUGGAUUGAGAGGCGACGUAGGUCACAAGACAACGUAGUUCAUGCUCUUGUUUAUGAGGAUAGUGGGAAGGAAUCGGAUCAUGUCUCUAACACCCAACGUUGACUUUUUUGAUUCAUAUACUUUUGGAUUGUAAUAUUGCUAUGUUUUCUUGGAUAUGUAUAUUUUUUUUUAUGAUAGUUUUAAUUCGAAUUAGAUGUACUUUUGAAUGUGAAUUAGAUUGUAGGAAGUAGUUUAUGGAUGUUUAAGUGUUUGAAUGUAGAAAGUAGUUUAUGGUUGUUUAACUUUACGAUGUUUAAGUGUUUGAAUGUAGUUUUAAGGAUAUUUAGAAGUACUUUAAAUUGAAACUUGAGGUUGAAUUUGAUUUUAGAAUGUGAAGUUUAUGAUUGUAGAAGUACUUUGAUGAAUUGGACGUGUUGAUGAAUUGCAUUGUUGAUUUGGUUGA